CAGUCGCCGCGGUAAUACGAAGGGUGCAAGCGUUACUCGGAAUUACUGGGCGUAAAGCGUGCGUAGGUGGUGGUUUAAGUCCGUUGUGAAAGCCCUGGGCUCAACCUGGGAAUUGCAGUGGAUACUGGGUCACUAGAGUGUGGUAGAGGAUAGUGGAAUUUCCGGUGUAGCAAUGAAAUGCGUAGAGAUCGGAAGGAACAUCUGUGGCGAAGGCGACUAUCUGGGCCAACACUGACACUGAGGCACGAAAGCGUGGGGAGCAAACAGGAUUAGAUACCCGCGUAGUCCCUGUCUCUUAUAC
rnacentral:rRNA from 1 species